rnacentral:rRNA from 1 species
UGGGGAAUAUUGGACAAUGGGGGGAACCCUGAUCCAGCCAAGCCGCGUGUGUGAAGAAGGCCUUAUGGUUGUAAAGCACUUUAAGCGAGGAGGAGGGUACUGGUAUUAAUACUACCAGCUACUGGACGUUACUCGCAGAAUAAGCACCGGCUAACUCUGUGCCAGCAGCCGCGGUAAUACAGAGGGUGCGAGCGUUAAUCGGAUUUACUGGGCGUAAAGCGUGCGUAGGCGGCUAAUUGAGUCGGAUGUGAAAUCCCCGAGCUUAACUUGGGAAUUGCAUUCGAUACUGGUUAGCUAGAGUGUGGGAGAGGAUGGUAGAAUUCCAGGUGUAGCGGUGAAAUGCGUAGAGAUCUGGAGGAAUACCGAUGGCGAAGGCAGCCAUCUGGCCUAACACUGACGCUGAGGUACGAAAGCAUGGGGAGCAAACAGG